CGGAGAAAGAGCCUGAAAAACGGCUACCACAUCCAAGGAAGGCAGUAGGCGCGUAAAUUACCCAAUCCUGAUACAGGGAGGUAGUGACAAUAAAUAACAAUGCCGGGCCAUCAUUGGUCUGGCAAUUGGAAUGAGAACAAUUUAAAUCCCUUAUCGAGGAUCAAUUGGAGGGCAAGUCUGGUGCCAGCAGCCGCGGUAAUUCCAGCUCCAAUAGCGUAUAUUAAAGUUGUUGCAGUUAAAAAGCUCGUAGUUGGAUUUGUGGCGUACGGUGUGUUCCGGGCACUUGUUGUCUGAGUAACCUGCCGUUGCCAUCCUUGGGUGGAACCUGUGUGGCAUUANGUUGUCGUGCASGGGAUGCCCAUCAUUUACUGUGAAAAAAUUAGAGUGUUCAAAGCAGGCUUAUGCCCGUUGAAUAUAUUANCAUGGAAUAAUAAGAUAGGACUUGUUUGCUAUUUUGUUGGUUUGCGCAAAUAGGUAAUGAUUAAUA
rnacentral:rRNA from 1 species